GGAAUUUUGGACAAUGGGCGCAAGCCUGAUCCAGCAAUGCCGCGUGAGUGAAGAAGGCCUUCGGGUUGUAAAGCUCUUUUGUCAGGGAAGAAACGGUGGACUCUAAUACAGAUCACUAAUGACGGUACCUGAAGAAUAAGCACCGGCUAACUACGUGCCAGCAGCCGCGGUAAUACGUAGGGUGCAAGCGUUAAUCGGAAUUACUGGGCGUAAAGCGUGCGCAGGCGGUUGUGCAAGACAGAUGUGAAAUCCCCGGGCUCAACCUGGGAAUUGCAUUUGUGACUGCACGGCUAGAGUGUGUCAGAGGGGGGUAGAAUUCCACGUGUAGCAGUGAAAUGCGUAGAGAUGUGGAGGAAUACCGAUGGCGAAGGCAGCCCCCUGGGAUAACACUGACGCUCAUGCACGAAAGCGUGGGGAGCAAACAGGAUUAGAUACCCGAG
rnacentral:rRNA from 1 species